GAAAGGCGAAAAGAACCCCUGUGAGGGGAGUGAAAUAGAACCUGAAACCGUGUACGUACAAGCAGUAGGAGCACCUUCGUGGUGUGACUGCGUACCUUUUGUAUAAUGGGUCAGCGACUUAUAUUCAGUGGCAAGGUUAACCGUAUAGGGGAGCCGUAGCGAAAGCGAGUCUUAACUGGGCGUUCAGUCUCUGGAUAUAGACCCGAAACCGGGUGAUCUAGCCAUGGGCAGGUUGAAGGUUGAGUAACAUCAACUGGAGGACCGAACCGACUAAUGUUGAAAAAUUAGCGGAUGACUUGUGGCUAGGGGUGAAAGGCCAAUCAAACUCGGAGAUAGCUGGUUCUCCCCGAAAGCUAUUUAGGUAGCGCCUCGGACGAAUACUACUGGGGGUAGAGCACUGUUAAGGCUAGGGGGUCAUCCCGACUUACCAACCUUUGCAAACUCCGAAUACCAGUAAGUACUAUCCGGGAGACACACGGCGGGUGCUAACGUCCGUCGUGGAGAGGGAAACAACCCAGACCGCCAGCUAAGGU
rnacentral:rRNA from 1 species